GGGUGAUGCUGGCCUAAAUGGGCUUCCAGGACCUAAAGGAGACCCAGGCAGUGCUGGUGUGAAGGGUUUCAGAGGCAGUCCGGGACCUGACGGACACAGCGGAGUAAGAGGAGAUCCUGGUGCACCAGGAAUAGACAACACAAUUCCAGGUCCAAAAGGCGAGAGGGGAGAUACUGGGCUCCCGG